rnacentral:rRNA from 1 species
UACGUAGGGUCCGAGCGUUUGUCCGGAAUUACUGGGCGUAAAGAGCUCGUAGGUGGUUUGUCGCGUUGUUCGUGAAAACUCACAGCUCAACUGUGGGCGUGCGGGCGAUACGGGCAGACUGGAGUACUGCAGGGGAGACUGGAAUUCCUGGUGUAGCGGUGAAAUGCGCAGAUAUCAGGAGGAACACCGAUGGCGAAGGCAGGUCUCUGGGCAUUAACUGACGCUGAGGAGCGAAAGCAUGGGGAGCGAACAGG